rnacentral:tRNA from 1 species
GGAACUGUUACCGAGAUGGUCAAGGUGCUGCACUGAAAAUGCAGUUAUGUCGGUUCGAGUCCGACCGGUUCCA